AAGAUAUUAGUAAAAUGCAUAUUACAUCACUUUGUCAAGGCGAAAUUGUAGGUUAGACUCCUGCAUGUCUUA
rnacentral:tRNA from 1 species